ACAAGAAUUCGCAUUUAUAAAUAAAUACGACUCAUCAUUGUAUGAGUUGAUACGAAUUGAAAUAACCACGUGUUUCCGCUAUGGUAGCAGUAAACAAACAACAUGAUGGUGAUCCGAAAUCUGAACGUCAAUUUUCAUGAUUAUUUCACGACGAAGAUCAUCACAUCAAUGAAUCAAAUAAUACGGACAUCCUUUGGUAUUAGCAGGUGAGAAUACGUGUAUAUUGACUGAAUAGUUUAAGUUUAAAACGCAAUUAGUUCACGUUCAAAAGAAAACUAAAUGUAGACAUGUACAUGUACUAGAUCUUCAUAUUUCAGUGUGCGUAUUUCGUAUUGUUCAGCCAAUUUUGUGUUGCUUUUGAACUUUGAUGCUUUUAACAAACACUCGUAAGUUCAAAGUAAAAUCAAAGUUGCCAUAAUAUUAAAUAGAUAGUUGUUUUCAGUAUGUGUGUACCAGUGUGUACAUAUACCACUUUCACUUUGAAUUUUUAGGGUGCUGGCAACAUAUGGAACAAUACUUUCAUCUGUGAAUACCCACUUGCUAAGCCCACCAUGAUCUACGAAUGCCAAUUAAUAUGUAAGGACACCAAUGAACAGACACUUUCCAAUUAUCGUACAUCAUAUAUAUGGGUGGUCAAACUCACUGGAUGGUUUAUCAACACUCCCAUGCUCACGAACAGCCUUGCCCCAGGAAUUUUGCCCUGAAGUAACAUUGCAGUCUAUUGUCUCCCUUCUUUUUACAACCCUGGCAGCCAUGCAGGAUAGAAGCUGAUCACUUGAACUUGAAAGUAAAUUAUAAUGUCUUGGACAAGUCAAAGAAUUUCCUCCAGUCUUACAGAGAAGUAACAGUUGAUAAGAGAAUGGUGGGCACAAAGUAAAAGUGCUCUUCAACAUUUUGUUGAAGAUUUCAGUCUGAUUUGGAAUUCAUCUUGCAAUAUAUCUGGAUUUGUAUAUUUGGAUAUAAGCAUCAAAUUUUCAACUUAUUGACUAAACAGUUUUGGGCUAAAUAUUGCCAAUGUUAUUUAUUAUUAUCAUUUCCUUCCAAGAUAACAUGUCAAGUCUUUAUUGUACCCCUUAAGCUCUGUUAUACCAGAAAAAUCUUGUAAUGAAAUCAUUUAGUUUUUUUUCUUGUUAGAUUAAAUCCAUGAAAAUAAAGAUUAUUUUUAAUGGCAUCAAGAGAAUGGAUUUCUUGUUUAACAAAAAGAUUGUAUACAUGUUUUGCUAGGGGUUUGUAAGAA